rnacentral:rRNA from 1 species
UACGUAGGCAGCGAGCGUUGUUCGGAGUUACUGGGCGUAAAGCGUGCGCAGGCGGUUGUGCAAGACAGAUGUGAAAUCCCCGGGCUCAACCUGGGAACUGCAUUUGUGACUGCACGGCUGGAGUGCGGCAGAGGGGGAUGGAAUUCCGCGUGUAGCAGUGAAAUGCGUAGAUAUGCGGAGGAACACCGAUGGCGAAGGCAAUCCCCUGGGCCUGCACUGACGCUCAUGCACGAAAGCGUGGGGAGCAAACAGG